rnacentral:rRNA from 1 species
UACGUAGGGGGGCAAGCGUUGUCCGGAAUCAUUGGGCGUAAAGAGCGCGUAGGCGGCCCGAUAAGUCCGCUGUGAAAGUCGGGGGCUUAACCCUCGGAUGCCGGUGGAUACUGUCGGGCUUGAGUACGGAAGAGGCGAGUGGAAUUCCUGGUGUAGCGGUGAAAUGCGCAGAUAUCAGGAGGAACACCAAUUGCGAAGGCAGCUCGCUGGGACGUUACUGACGCUGAGACGCGAAAGCGUGGGGAGCAAACAGG